UACGUAGGGGGCAAGCGUUGUCCGGAUUUAUUGGGCGUAAAGAGCGUGUAGGCGGCUUGGAAGGUCAGCUGUGAAAACUCGAGGCUCAACCUCGAGACGUCGGUUGAAACCACCUGGCUAGAGUCCGGAAGAGGAGUGUGGAAUUCCCGGUGUAGCGGUGAAAUGCGCAGAUAUCAGGAAGAACACCCGUGGCGAAGGCGGCACUCUGGGACGGUACUGACGCUGAGACGCGAAAGCGUGGGGAGCGAACAGG
rnacentral:rRNA from 1 species